rnacentral:lncRNA from 1 species
UCUAACUAAGUUGUUGUAAGGAGUCAUCUAUACACUAACUCAACUGGAUAUAAUGACUAAAACACCAUUGCUUUAUAAAAUAAAUUAUAUUAUUUGGAGGAUUUUUUUUCUUUUUAUAUAAAAAUAGAAAAAAAAAUAUUUGAACUUAAAAUAUCAUAGUUUUUAACAUCCCAACUUUUUCGAAUCACAAGAUGAUGACUUAAAAGGGACCUAAGAUGAUAUGGAUCGCAAUUGCACUCCAGAGCUCCUCGACUUAGACCUUGAAUUAAGGAGUAUCUCCAUCAUAUAAGGAGAAGUCGUGGCCUUGAAAAGUUUUAAUCCAAAUAUGAUUCUUGAAGAGUUUUUUGGUAGAAGAAGUUGUUUAGGGAGAGUUUAUAUUAAAUGUAUAGGGGUGAUGCCAUAAUUAUUCAAGGGUUACGAUAAAUUAGGAUUAAACCAUUGCUUAUAUUAUGAGUUUAGCAAUUGAUUUUUCUAAAGUCACACGUUGGUCCAUGGUGCACCAAAUUGUGUUACAAAUUUGCUCACGUUUCUUUCCAAUAUUUAUUGUUUUUUUCAUAUUGUUGUACUAAUACUUGCGCCAAAACAUAUAUUCAUAUCUCAUAUCACAGGUUGUCACAAUAGACAUGCUAACAAGCAUUGCACCGUUAAACAAGCAGAACUUUAGGCUAUUUAUGAUGAACUUACCUUGUCUUGGGAUAAAGGAUGUAGAUGGGUAUUUACGAGGCACUAAACUUCAUGGCUGGUUGGUCGAAUGGAAAGGAGCCUAAUCUACAUGUGUGCGAGAGCCCUACAAGGGGCAUCCGAACUAUCAUCUUACAAGGUGCAUGGGGCCAAACAAGCGAGAGACAAGUUCUUUCUAUUACUACCAAAAAGAAAAAAAAAAUGUAAAUGC